rnacentral:lncRNA from 1 species
AAGGAAGCCAUGGUUAUUCAUCAUCACCACCAUCAUCUCAUCUUCAUCAUCAUCAUCACCAACUUCAUCUCUAUUUCAUAAUCUUCAUCACCAAACCAAGAUGAGUUCUUAGAUAGAGUUAGCCUUGGGGAGGGGAAGAAUUUCAUGAAGGGAAUUAGGUUGUUAUGAUAUUGUGGUUGUUGAUAAUAACAUGUUGAUGUUGCUUCAUGUUGUUCUUGAUAUUAUGUUAUGUUGUAUGAUUAUUAUCUUGAUUUCA